rnacentral:rRNA from 1 species
UUUUUUUUGGAUUCUUCUUUGUGUAAUAUUGCGCAAUGGGCGAAAGCCUGACGCAGCGACGCCGCGUGAGGGAUGAAGGUCUUCGGAUCGUAAACCUCUGUCAGCAGGGAAGAACGGUCACUGUGCUAAUCAGCAGUGAAUUGACGGUACCUGCAAAGGAAGCACCGGCUAACUCCGUGCCAGCAGCCGCGGUAAUACGGAGGGUGCGAGCGUUAAUCGGAAUUACUGGGCGUAAAGCGCUCGUAGGCGGUAUGUCAAGUCAAGGGUGAAAUCCCCGCGCUCAACGUGGGAACUGCCUUUGAAAC